UACGAAGGGGGCUAGCGUUGCUCGGAAUCACUGGGCGUAAAGCGUACGUAGGCGGAUCGUUAAGUCAGGGGUGAAAUCCUGGAGCUCAACUCCAGAACUGCCUUUGAUACUGGCGACCUUGAGUUCGGGAGAGGUGAGUGGAACUGCGAGUGUAGAGGUGAAAUUCGUAGAUAUUCGCAAGAACACCAGUGGCGAAGGCGGCUCACUGGCCCGAUACUGACGCUGAGGUGCGAAAGCGUGGGGAGCAAACAGG
rnacentral:rRNA from 1 species